rnacentral:rRNA from 1 species
GACGAACGCUGGCGGCGUGCUUAACACAUGCAAGUCGAGCGGUAAGGCCCUUUCGGGGGUACACGAGCGGCGAACGGGUGAGUAACACGUGGGUGACCUGCCCUCAGCUCUGGGAUAAGCCUGGGAAACCGGGUCUAAUACUGGAUAUGACUCCAUGACGCAUGUUGUGGGGUGGAAAGCCUUGUGCGGCUGAGGAUGGGCCCGCGGUCUAUCAGCUUGUUGGUGGGGUGANGGCCUACCAAGGCGACGACGGGUAGCCGGCCUGAGAGGGCGACCGGCCACACUGGGACUGAGACACGGCCCAGACUCCUACGGGAGGCAGCAGUGGGGAAUCUUGCGCAAUGGGCGAAAGCCUGACGCAGCGACGCCGCGUGAGGGAUGACGGCCU